rnacentral:rRNA from 1 species
GACGAACGCUGGCGGCGUGCCUAAUACAUGCAAGUAGAACGCUGAAGAGAGGAGCUUGCUCUUCUUGGAUGAGUUGCGAACGGGUGAGUAACGCGUAGGUAACCUGCCUUGUAGCGGGGGAUAACUAUUGGAAACGAUAGCUAAUACCGCAUAACAAUGGAUGACACAUGUCAUUUAUAUGAAAGGGGCAAUUGCUACACUACAAGAUGGACCUGCGUUGUAUUAGCUAGUAGGUGAGGUAAUGGCUCACCUAGGCGACGAUACAUAGCCGACCUGAGAGGGUGGUCGGCCACACUGGGACUGAGACACGGCCCAGACUCCUACGGGAGGCAGCAGUAGGGAAUCUUCGGCAAUGGGGGCAACCCUGACCGAGCAACGCCGCGUGAGUGAAGAAGGUUUUCGGAUCGUAAAGCUCUGUUGUAAGUCAAGAACGGGUGUGAGAGCGGAAAGUUCACACUGUGACGGUAGCUUACCAGAAAGGGACGGCUAACUACGUG